rnacentral:rRNA from 1 species
GACGAACGCUGGCGGCGUGCUUAACACAUGCAAGUCGAACGGAAAGGCCCUGCUUUUGUGGGGUGCUCGAGUGGCGAACGGGUGAGUAACACGUGAGUAACCUGCCCUUGACUUUGGGAUAACUUCAGGAAACUGGGGCUAAUACCGGAUAGGAGCUCCUGCUGCAUGGUGGGGGUUGGAAAGUUUCGGCGGUUGGGGAUGGACUCGCGGCUUAUCAGCUUGUUGGUGGGGUAGUGGCUUACCAAGGCUUUGACGGGUAGCCGGCCUGAGAGGGUGGCCGGCCACAUUGGGACUGAUACGGCCCAGACUCCUACGGGAGGCAGCAGUGGGGAAUAUUGCACAAUGGGCGGAAGCCUGAUGCAGCAACGCCGCGUGCGGGAUGACGGCCUUCGGGUUGUAAACCGCUUUCGCCUGUGACGAAGCGUGAGUGACGGUAAUGGGUAAAGAAGCACCGGCUAACUACGUG